AAAAGCACUUUGAAGAGAGAGUUAAAGAGGACGUGAAACCGGUAGGAUGGAAACGGAUAGAGCUAGCGAAGUCGCUCGUAUUCAGCCAAAGGCCCGUGGUCGCCGGCUGCUGUGUUGCUAAUCGUGCGCAGUGGUCGUCCGGCUAUGGGCUGAGGUGCAUUUGCGGGCGUUUGCACUGAGACUUGUGGGGCAGCUGCAGGACCCGCGUUCUAGAGGCCUCCCUCUGGGUGGAACCUGGUCGCGGUGAGAGCUGUUUGCCUUGCUCGUAGAAGAUGGUACGGCCUACGGACCUUGUCUGUGCCGUCGUCUCCUUGCCGUGGUAUYGCAUGCGAUGCCUAGCUUGAGGGCGGCGGUGCGGGCCGGUGUCCUCGUGCCUGCUCUCGGUGUAGAAGCUGGUCAUCUCUCCGACCCGUCUUGAAACACGGACCAAGGAGUUUAGCGUAUGCGCGAGUCAUUGGGUGUGGAAAACCCAUAGGCGCAAUGAAAGUGAAGGCUCGGUCGCCGGGCUGACAUGCGAGUGCUGUGGCUUCGGCCGCGGCAUGCAGCAUGGUCCCGUUCCGGUCGCUUGCGACGGAGCGGAGACAGAGCGUAUGCGCUGAGACCCGAAAGAUGGUGAACUAUUCCUGAGCAGGACGAAGCCAGAGGAAACUCUGGUGGAAGUCCGAAGCGAUUCUGACGUGCAAAUCGAUCGUCUGACUUGGGUAUA
rnacentral:rRNA from 1 species